rnacentral:rRNA from 1 species
GGGUCAGUAGGUUGGUCGUGCCACCGGUACGUACUGGUCUCACUGAUUCCUCCUUCCUGAAGAACCGUAAUGCCGUUAAUUUGGUGUUGCGGGGAGACAGGACUGUUACUUUGAAAAAAUUAGAGUGUUUAAAGCAAGCUAACGCUUGAAUACAUUAGCAUGGAAUAAUGAAAUAGGACGAUCGAUCCUAUUUUGUUGGUUUCUAGGAUUGACGUA